UGGGGAAUAUUGGACAAUGGGCGAAAGCCUGAUCCAGCCAUGCCGCGUGUGUGAAGAAGGUCUUCGGAUUGUAAAGCACUUUAAGUUGGGAGGAAGGGCAUUAACCUAAUACGUUAGUGUUUUGACGUUACCGACAGAAUAAGCACCGGCUAACUCUGUGCCAGCAGCCGCGGUAAUACAGAGGGUGCAAGCGUUAAUCGGAAUUACUGGGCGUAAAGCGCGCUGAGGUGGUUUGUUAAGUUGGAUGUGAAAUCCUCGGGCUCAACCUGGGAACUGCAUUCAAAACUGACUGACUAGAGUAUGGUAGAGGGUGGUGGAAUUUCCUGUGUAGCGGUGAAAUGCGUAGAUAUAGGAAGGAACACCAGUGGCGAAGGCGACCACCUGGACUAAUACUGACACUGAGGUGCGAAAGCGUGGGGAGCAAACA
rnacentral:rRNA from 1 species